rnacentral:tRNA from 1 species
GCCCUGAUAGCUUAGUUGGUAAAGAAUCUGCCUGCAAUGCAGGAGACCCUGGUUCGAUUCCUGGGCUGGGAA